rnacentral:rRNA from 1 species
UGGGGAAUAUUGGACAAUGGGCGAAAGCCUGAUCCAGCCAUGCCGCGUGUGUGAAGAAGGUCUUCGGAUUGUAAAGCACUUUAAGUUGGGAGGAAGGGCAGUUACCUAAUACGUAUCUGUUUUGACGUUACCGACAGAAUAAGCACCGGCUAACUCUGUGCCAGCAGCCGCGGUAAUACAGAGGGUGCAAGCGUUAAUCGGAAUUACUGGGCGUAAAGCGCGCGUAGGUGGUUUGUUAAGUUGGAUGUGAAAUCCCCGGGCUCAACCUGGGAACUGCAUUCAAAACUGACAAGCUAGAGUAUGGUAGAGGGUGGUGGAAUUUCCUGUGUAGCGGUGAAAUGCGUAGAUAUAGGAAGGAACACCAGUGGCGAAGGCGACCACCUGGACUGAUACUGACACUGAGGUGCGAAAGCGUGGGGAGCAAACAGGAUUAGAUACCCAGGUAGUCCCUGAGCGGGCUGGCAAGGCGCAU